AAUUCCAUGGAGCAGAGUGUGGAGCGAUCUGGGAAGUGGCUGAGCUUUCUCUCUGGAGCAAAACAUGAAGAUGAAGUGGAAGAAAAAAUGUGGCAGAGAAGGAAAAGUAAUCUCUACACCCAGCUUGGGGCUUGAACUCACCACCCUGAGAUCAAGAGUCACAUGGUCUUCUGACUGAGCCAGCCAGGUGCCUCUGGUUUUGUGUUUUAGAGUGAAUCUCCCAGAAUCGACACUCAUGGACAUGGAGGAGGAGGAGUGUAGCAGUCUUCACCUGCUUCUUGCAGGGCAUCCCCCAAGAAAGGCCUCUGGCUUUGUGUGGUACCAGGAUGUCCACCAGCAAGUUCCGACCAAAGCCUUCCAGAUUCAAGUGCCCCGGAGAAUGUGGCGGCUCUCACAAAAGUCUCUACGAAAUCUCAUUGUCAUUUGGACUCCAGCGGGGCCACACAGUCAUGUCCUAAUCUCUUGCCUGGGACGCAGAAUGCUCCAGUGGGCGAGGCCAGGCCACAUACCCAUCUUGGCUAAGGAGGGUCGUGGAGGGACAGUUCUUUCUGUACACGGGCUAAGACUGCAGAACAGAGAUAAAUUCCCCAGAAAUGUGUAUUGUUCAAUCAAGACAUAA
rnacentral:tRNA from 1 species